rnacentral:sRNA from 1 species
UACAGAUGUUGAUGUCCGGAGUAAUC